CUCAACCAACCCAAGGAGACAAUCAGAACAAAAGCCUUGUUUUCUGGAGAGAUAUAGCUCAGUGUGUAAAGCAUGUGCCGUGCAAACACUGAGGACCUGAGUCUGAUCACCAGGACACGUGUGUCAACGGCACACACUUGUAACCCAGGGCUGGAGAUGUAGAAACAGGCAGCCCUCUAGUGUAGCUCACUGACAUCCAGAGAACUUACCGAACUUAUCUGACACACUGUCUCAGAACAUGGUGGGAAUAACACUUGACGUCAACUCUGACCUACACAUGCACACUUACGCAUGGACACUUGCAUGCAUACGCGACUACACAGGAAAGAAACCUGACUGAGGCACGGUUACUCAUAUCUAAAAUCCCAGCAUUUGGAAGGCUGAGGUUGGUGGACGGACACAAAUUCAAGGUCGCACUGGAGUAUGUAAGAUGUGAGACCUUUUCCCCAACACGACAAAGAGGGUGUGGAUUUUAGUAAUCCUGGUAGCCUCUCCCCUACAGACAACCAAAGCAACACCACUGCAGUUAGACAUGGAUCCUAGAGGUUUCCCGACACUGUACCGAGGUCUUCUCUGGGGGCCCUGGAGCUAAACAGUGCAGUGAUCCCAAACAGAAGACUUUCCAAUACCCACUUCCAGCCCCACGGACGUUUACUUUAAGGAAUCGACAAGUGCUCUCUUUUGGUUUAAAUACUCCCGAGUGUUUCCAGCUGCCAGGCCACUCAAGUAUGCAGAUGACGAAGUAAUAGGUGGAAUUAUUAAGGUGUCUUUGCUUCUCAUGUGACCAUUUCGUACAAGUCAGAGAGAGGGGCUAACAAUAGCACAGCCGGCGACACGCUUGUUACUAAUAUGCACGCCAAUUAAUCCUGACAUGGGAGCUUGGCGGGUUACCCCAAACCCGGUAUUUUAUCACCCCAGGGGGCCAGCACUUGGACGUUUCCUUGACAUUUUAUACUAAUCAAUCAACUUUUUUUUAAAGCUGAGCUUUUCACAGCAGUCAGCCAUGAACCCGUGAUCACCAGGCCCGAAGCCACCCAUUCCUCAGGAGGAUCUGCUCUGGCUUUACCGAUAAUUACACUUCUAGGCAGACUUUUGAAAAAAAAUUUAUGUUCUUAUUCUUUUCCUUCCAAGGGGGGUCUGUCUCAAAUGUUACGACAGAUUCUCCAGCCCCCAAGAGUCUUCUCCUGUUAUUGUAUAUUUAAAAAUAUUACAAGCGGACGCUUCUCAAGAGAGGUGAACUUUAAGGCUGCCAAAGUCUCUGACUGUCUCCAGAUCUGUUACCAAUGGAUCCCAAGUUGGUUUAAGUCAGUUCUAUUCUGAGCCAUGUCACAGACAGGCAGGGACAAACACCAUUCUGGGAUAUUUCUAGGACCUCCCUGGCAAAUGGUAAUUCAUCUGCAGCCAGGCAGGCACAAAGGGAAGGCAGAUGCAGAGAAUCAGCCUCCUGGGAGCCCUGCGCUGAGCAGAGCCCUAAAUCAGCCAGAGGGACCACGUUCUCAGGGUGAAGGCCCUUCACUUGUCACUGCCAAACCCCGGACUAUGGCCUCAAAUUGUCUUUCAGCCAUUCUUCAUGUAGGUCACCCUAAAGAGGUCAUCCAGCUACAAAACUCUUACUGGCAAACUCUCCCUAUCCGGUGUCCUGGACCCAAGGCCAGAAGCAGCCCUAGGAGAAGUGUGGGCUUUAGAUUUGCCACGUCAUUCCCAGAGUUGACCUUCAUCAGGACCUACGGUAGCGUCCCCCUCUUCUUUCCUGUCCUUUGCUUCCUCCCACUCCAUGGGACCAGCCUGUCCAUGACAUGGAUUCCAGCUAAGUCACUAUCUCCUCAGUUCUCUCAGAUACAAAGGGAAGGGAUGCCUGCCAUGUCUGCCCCACAGGAGUACUCUGAGGAGAAAGAGGACAGAGGGAACAGAUAUUUAGGGUUAUGGAACACACUACUCUCCACCUGCCAGCUCUGUCUCUCACCAUAGCUCCACAGCACACCCCAGACCUCCAUCCCAGAGCCAAGCCAGGCAGCACCAGUCAUCUUUCUAACAGCCCGGUCAUGUGACCAACUGACUAUGGGUCAGUCAUCAUGGAGAGAGCCACUUUUGCACAUCGUUCUGGAGCAUCCCUUCUGCCCCUCUGACUGAACUCUAGGAAAUGCUCAUGCUCACGGGUCAAGAAGAGCAAGAAUUAGCACAUCUGCUAAGACCACGGUGCUAACACUGUCAUCUGUGUCUCAGGUGUAAAGACGGAUUGGCGAAACCCCAGAGACAGCCUCUCCCAGAUGCCACCCUCAGUUCUGGCCAAUCCGAUUUCUUUAGCCCUUUCACAGGAGUCAACAGAGGUAGCCCUGAGCUCUGUAAUUUCACACAUCAUCCCAUGGUUACAUUUCUGCCGUUCUAACUUAAGGAGUGUGUGCACACUUGCUGGCUGGAAACACAGAGAUGGUGCACACCUGGAGGAACCGGAGCAGGAUUGUUAAAGGUGUUACAGGUGUGAGCACAGGAAACACGGCUUCUCUACACUCUCACCGGAGAUCCACACUGGGAAAAUAUUUACUUUAUACAGAAACAUGUUCCUGGCAUCAAAAUUGGAUCCUACAGCCCAUCUGCUCCCAUAAUUCCUAGAGUCUUACAAUAUGCAUGCUUCUG